rnacentral:rRNA from 1 species
UACAGAGGUGGCAAGCGUUGUUCGGAAUUACUGGGCGUAAAGGGCGAGUAGGUGGCCAUCUAAGUCAGACGUGAAAUCCCCCGGCUUAACCUGGGAACUGCGUCUGAUACUGGACGGCUUGAGUAUGGGAGAGGAACGUAGAAUUCCAGGUGUAGCGGUGAAAUGCGUAGAUAUCUGGAGGAAUACCGGUGGCGAAGGCGGCGUUCUGGACCAUUACUGACACUGAAUCGCGAAAGCUAGGGAGCAAACGGG